CUCUAAAAUAAUUAAUACUACAAUUAGUUUAUCAAAAAUAUUGUUACUUUUAAAAACUCAUAAAAACGAAAACGUAUUAAUAUUUUGACUGGAAUAUAAAUAAAAACUGCGCGUUAUGAAUAUUUUCUUAAUAACUUUUCUAACUGAACUUCAACAAGGUACACUAAGUUUUUUUUUUAUCAAAGGUACACUAAAAUUAUAAUUUACAAACUGGGUUCUUUGGGUUUCAAUUCAAGAAACUAGGUACUUAUUUUCAAAAAAAUUCAAGAAAUAAAAAAAUAAUCUGGUCUUUGAUCUUUAUCACAACAUGCCAUGUUAUAUCGCACUUUCUCAUAUCGAACUAGUGAAACACACGCCGCUGACGGCGGACACGAAGCGAAGUUAUUCAAUCCAAUUUAUUACGAAUGAGGUCUGAUUGGCUUCUGAGAUCUGAUUGGCGGACUCGAGACAUUCUAUUAAAAAGGAUUUUUAAGUGGAGUCGUUUUUACAUUGGAAGAGGCUAACGCUGGAGUGACUUGUCGGUUAUUCAGGAAACUAAUGAACAUAGGCCACGUUGGUGAGCAGUCCCCUUUCCAACGCACGUGGGUCUCGCAGGAAAAAGAAAAGAAGGUGAGCAUCAUAUCUUAAAGCUGGAAGAAACACACAACAAAAACUUUAAAACGGUCCAGCUAUAUAAAGCACCCUACCUACCUGCAUAUUUAAUAACAUGUAUUAUCGUCUGCAACCAAUUGCAAUUAGUUUUUUUUUGACCAAAAAAAAAGAUUGUUUUUCUGUAAUGUCAAGUAAACAAAGCUUUGUGUUAUGUUUCUGUAAAUUUAUUUCAUAGUUGAAAAUUACCGCACA